GAUGAGAACGUAGCGAAAUGCGAUAAGUAAUGUGAAUUGCAGAAUUCAGUGAAUCAUCGAAUCUUUGAACGCACAUUGCGCCCGCCAGUAUUCUGGCGGGCAUGCCUGUUCGAGCGUCAUUUCCACCAUCAGGCCCCCGGGCCUGUGUUGGGGACCUGCGGCUGCCCGCAGGCCCCGAAAUUCAGUGGCGGUCGCGCCGUAGCAACCGAGCGUAGUAACUAAAACGUCUCGCUCUGGCUCGCUGGGCGCGCUCCGGCCGUAAAACACCCCCCCUUUUCGCAAAGGUUGACCUCGGAUCAGGUAGGAAUACCCGCUGAACUUAAGCAUAUCAAUAAGCGGAGGA
rnacentral:misc_RNA from 1 species